CUGGACUUAAACCCCAAAUAUAAAGUUUACACUUUUUUUAGAA
rnacentral:tRNA from 1 species